CCUACGGGAGGCAGCAGUGAGGAAUAUUGGACAAUGGGCGCGAGCCUGAACCAGCCACGUAGCGUGGAGGAUGACUGCCCUACGGGUUUUAAACUUCUUUUAUAAAGGAAUAAAGUGAGGCGCGUGUGCCUUUUUGUAUGUACUUUAUGAAUACGGAUCGGCUAACUCCGUGCCAGCAGCCGCGGUACUACGGAGGGUCCGAGCGUUAUCCGGAUUUAUUGGGUUUAAAGGGAACGUAGAUGGGUUGUUAAGUCAGUUGUGAAAGUUUGCGGCUCAACCGUAAAAGUGCAAUUGAUACUGGCAGCCUUGAGUACAGUUGAGGUAGGUGGAAUUCGUGGUGUAGCGGUGAAAUGCUUAGAUAUCACGAAGAACUCCGAUGGCGAAGGCAGCCUACUAAACUGCCACUGACAUUGAUGCUCGAAAGUGUGGGUAGCAAACAGGAUUAGAUACCCCUGUAGUC
rnacentral:rRNA from 1 species